GCAUAUCAAUAAGCGGAGGAAAAGAAACUAACUAGGAUUCCCUUAGUAACGGCGAGUGAACCGGGAUGAGCUCAAAUUUGAAAUCUGGCGUCUUUCAGGCGUCCGAGUUGUAAUCUAUAGAGGCGUUUUCCGCGCCGGACCGCGUCCAAGUCUCUUGGAAUAGAGUAUCAAAGAGGGUGACAAUCCCGUACUUGACGCGACAACCGGUGCUCUGUGAUACGUUCUCAAUGAGUCGAGUUGUUUGGGAAUGCAGCUCUAAAUGGGUGGUAAAUUCCAUCUAAGGCUAAAUAUUGGCGAGAGACCGAUAGCGAACAAGUACCGUGAGGGAAAGAUGAAAAGCACUUUGGAAAGAGAGUUAAACAGCACGUGAAAUUGUUAAAAGGGAAACGAUUGAAGUCAGUCGUGUGGGAAGUAUUCAGCCGUCUCUGGCGGUGUAUUUGCUUCUCACGGGUCAACAUCAGUUUGAUCCGGUAGAAAAAGGCGGGAAGAAGGUGGCACCCUCGGGUGUGUUAUAGCUUCCUGUCAUAUGUGCCGGACCAGACUGAGGAACGCAGCUUGCAGCAAUGCCGGGGUUCGCCCACGUACAAGCUUAGGA
rnacentral:rRNA from 1 species